rnacentral:rRNA from 1 species
GGGCCCGCACAAGCGGUGGAGCAUGUGGUUUAAUUCGACGCAACGCGAAGAACCUUACCUACACUUGACAUCCUCGGAACUUUCUAGAGAUAGAUUGGUGCCUUCGGGAACCGAGUGACAGGUGCUGCAUGGCUGUCGUCAGCUCGUGUCGUGAGAUGUUGGGUUAAGUCCCGUAACGAGCGCAACCCUUAUCCUUAAUUGCCAGCGGUUAGGCCGGGAACUCUAAGGAGACUGCCGAUGACAAAUCGGAGGAAGGUGGGGACGACGUCAAGUCAUCAUGGCCCUUACGUGUAGGGCUACACACGUGCUACAAUGGCCGGUACAAACGGUUGCGAACCCGCGAGGGGAAGCUAAUCCGAGAAAGCCGGUCGUAGUCCGGAUCGGAGUCUGCAACUCGACUCCGUGAAGUCGGAAUUGCUAG